rnacentral:rRNA from 1 species
UUGGUGAGGUAAUGGCUUACCAAGGCGACGACGGGUAGCCGGCCUGAGAGGGCGACCGGCCACACUGGGACUGAGACACGGCCCAGACUCCUACGGGAGGCAGCAGUGGGGAAUAUUGCACAAUGGGGGAAACCCUGAUGCAGCGACGCCGCGUGAGGGAUGACGGCCUUCGGGUUGUAAACCUCUUUCGGCAGGGACGAAGCGCAAGUGACGGUACCUGCAGAAGAAGCACCGGCUAACUACGUGCCAGCAGCCGCGGUAAUACGUAGGGUGCGAGCGUUGUCCGGAGUUAUUGGGCGUAAAGAGCUCGUAGGCGGUCUGUCGCGUCUGCUGUGAAAACUCAGGGCUUAACCCUGAGCUUGCAGUGGGUACGGGCAGACUAGAGUGCGGUAGGGGAGACUGGAAUUCCUGGUGUAGCGGUGAAAUGCGCAGAUAUCAGGAGGAACACCGGUGGCGAAGGCGGGUCUCUGGGCCGUAACUGACGCUGAGGAGCGAAAGCAUGGGGAGUGAACAGGAUUAGAUACCCUGGUAGUCCAUGCCGUAAACGUUGGGCGCUAGGUGUGGGGACCUUUCCAUGGUUUCCGUGCCGCAGCUAACGCAUUAAGCGCCCCGCCUGGGGAGUACGG